rnacentral:rRNA from 1 species
AGGACGAACGCUGGCGGCGUGCUUAACACAUGCAAGUCGAACGGAAAGGCCCUUCGGGGUACUCGAGUGGCGAACGGGUGAGUAACACGUGGGUGAUCUGCCCUGCACUUCGGGAUAAGCCUGGGAAACUGGGUCUAAUACCGGAUAUGACCAUGGGAUGCAUGUUUCGUGGUGGAAAGCUUUUGCGGUGUGGGAUGGGCCCGCGGCCUAUCAGCUUGUUGGUGGGGUUAAGGCCUACCAAGGCGACGACGGGUAGCCGGCCUGAGAGGGUGACCGGCCACACUGGGACUGAGAUACGGCCCAGACUCCUACGGGAGGCAGCAGUGGGGAAUAUUGCACAAUGGGCGCAAGCCUGAUGCAGCGACGCCGCGUGAGGGACGACGGCCUUCGGUUGUAAACCUCUUUCAGCACAGACGAAGCGCAAGUGACGGUAUGUGCAGAAGAACGGACCGGCCAACUACGUGCCAGCAGCCGACGGUAA